rnacentral:misc_RNA from 1 species
GUGAAUCAUCAAAUCUUUGAACGCAAAUUGCACUCCCUGGUAUUCAGGGGAGUAUGCCUGUUUGAGGGUCGUUAGAACAAAAAUCGAAGCGUCGCUCUUUUUUUAAGGGUGAUCGCGUCGGAAUUGAGGCGUCUUUCAAAUGUUAUUUCAUGUCAAAGUGGCUUAAAAUUCAUCCAUCCGGUACGAUUAAAUCGUAUUUAAUAUCAAUUUUGAUUAAGAACGCGCGAUGAACGUACCAUCUCAUUUAGUACGUUUGACUUGACGUCGUCAGGAUCAUUUCGUAUACGAUUCGCAACUUUUG